GGAACUAUAUAUCCUUAGAAUUAUAUUCUUAUUUCUUACUCCAUAUGACCUAGACUGUAUCCACGUUAAGUAAAGAAUAGCCAUGCCUCAAAUGUCUACCAGUUGGGCUAGUCAAGUUUCUCUAUAAUGAAACCCAUUGCUAUACUGGAUGGAUGGUUCAGUCUUUUUUCCCUCUAAAAGGAAUGCCGUCUAUGGUUUUCAGGGGCACAGAAUAUCAGGCACAGUGAUUUUCAAAGGGCCCAAGGAACACAGAUCGAAACCCUUUUAUGCCAAAUGUGAGGAGAAGCAGAAAUUAGCUCAGCCAUCCUAGGUCUCACAUAGUUUGGAAGUUUAAUGGAGAUGGAUUGUUUGCCUUCCCUUUCUGUACCUGGGAGAGAUUUUAAACCUAGCUGUUCAACCAGCAUUUGGAUGAUGGUACCCCAAAGGGAUUAAAGGUAAAGAUAAAAGGCUAUGGUUGUCAUGGACUUUUCCAAAAGCAGUUUAUCCCCAGGAUGUUUGGUUUAUGUCUGCAAAAGACUAUUGAUUUACCAGCAUGUAGGAAGCAGAUAAUGGAGCCAGAAAAAGGAAAACGAGCCUGAGCUGAAAAUCACUAGCCACCUUCAUGUUUAUUAAUGCUUGGUCUUGACUGUGCCAUGAUGAUGCCUGCCUGGCAUAAACCUGAUCCAGGUUAUUCAACCUUCCUCUACUCAUGGGAAAUGCACACAAUUGGCCUUAUAUUAUUUCUAGAAUACAUUGCCCUUUGCUACCUUUUGGUGGCCCUAUUCCCAGAUGCAGAUUCCUGGCAUCCUCUUGGUCCAUAACUCUGAGUACUUCAUCUGUAAAUAUAGAGCUUCUGUUACUCUAUAUAAACAUGAUAGCAGCUUUAAAAUGUUAAAAUUCCCAGAUUGAGAGUUCCCAUUGUGGCGCAGCAGAAACAAAUCCGACUAGUAUCCAUGAAGAUGUGGAUUGGAUCCCCGGCCUCUCUCAGUGGCUCGGGAAUCUGGCAUUGCUAUGAGCUGAGGUGAAGGUGGCAGAUGUGGCUUGCAUUCUGCAUUGCUGUGGCUGUGAUGUAGGCCAGCAGCUACAGUUCCAAUUUGACCCCUAGCUUGGGAACUUCCAUAUGCCACUGGUGCAGUCCUAAAAAGCAAAUAAAUUAAAUAAAUAAAUAAACAAAUAAAAUUCCCAGAUCACUGAUUGCCACUUGUAAAUUAGUUAAGAACUAAUUAAUUCUUAACUAGUUCACUAGUUAAUUGUGAACUAAAAAGCUUGGGUCAAUUCAAACAACAGAAAACACAUGAGAGGGGAUCAGAUCUUUGAAAUCUGAGUUUUCCUGGUACUUAAAAAAAAAACCCGACAAAAAACCUGUAGCUUCUUAAUACCUUGGUCUCCUCACAGAAGGAAAAUAGUGGUACUUUAGGAACAUACUGUUAGUGGAUUCGCAAGUACGUCUGUGUAUGAAAAUAGGCAUUUCAAAGAUGAAAAAAGCUUAAAAAUUGUGUAGAACAGUCAGAAUUCUCACAAGUAGUUACUAGAGGAUUUAAUUGAAGGGGAUUAUAUUUGCUUGAGAAUGCUGGAACAAGUGCCACUUGUUACUUUUUAGUGCUUUCCUUUGUUUGUUCUAUUUUCCCCCGUGAUUAUCAUAAUUGCUAAUAUAGCAUUCACUCUGAGGGCAACAAGUCUUUUACAAAUCUUAACAAAAUGCCCCAGCACAUGGUUUCAACCAAUGUGUAGGGAUUUAUGGGUUUAAUUUUGGAUAGAAUUAUCACAUGCUCUCUGUAAGGCAACAUAGGCCUUUCCUUUGAAGAAGAGACUCCCUGCAAAGUACCCAAUAUGUGACGUACUCCCAAAAUUAUUUGAGGCAAAACAAAACGCCAACAAGUAAAAUUUAACGAUUAUUGUCCUAAGGUUCAUUUACCAUAUAAUUUUCAUUAAAUGCAAAUAUUAUCCUUCUGAAAUAAGGCAGUAUUUAAAAUAGACAUUGAAAUAUUAUUAAUGAAAAUGGUAUGUAUUAAAUUUCUAUUUUAGGAAUGAGAAACACUACUUAUAAAUACUUCUUUAUCAUUUUAUUUAUUUAUUUUUUAUUAAAAAAAUUUUUUUUAGGGCUGCGCUUGUGGCAUAUGGCGUUUCCCAGGCUAGGGGUAUAAUUGGAGCUACAGCUGCCGGCCUACACCACAGCCACAGCAAUAUGGGAUUGGAGCCACAUCUGCAACCCACACUAUAGCUCAUGGUAUGACUGUAUCCUUACCCAACCACACAAGGCCAGAGAUCAAACCCGUGUCCUUAUGGAUACUAGUUGAGUUCGUUACUGCUGAUCCACGAUGGGAACUCCUAUGGGAGUUUCAGGUUCUUGGGGUUUUUUUGUGUGUGUGUUUUUUUUUGUUUUGUUUUUUGUUUUUUUUUUGCCACACAGACAGUAUAUAGAAGUUUCUGGGCCAGGGAUCGAACUUACAUCACACAGCAGCAACCAGAGACACAGCAGUGAGAACACAGGAGCUUCUUCAACCUGCUAGGCUCUCAGAGACCUCCUUACUUUAUCUUUUAUGGCUGACAUCUCUGGCUCCUAUUUUUUUUUUUUUUGAGGAUUUAAUUUCUAUUUUAUAAAACUAUUGAUAUCAGUAGAAAUUGUGAUGUUUUGAUGAUGAGGACCCUAAAGAAGGGAAGGAAAGACAAGGUUCUGACAUAUCUACGUUUAGGUGGCUCCAAGAACUGGUCAUUACAAUCUGGUUGCAUAGGACUGGGCUGAUUUAGCACAAUUCUUCUUGCCAGGAUAGAGAAUACCUAAAGCUCACUUCAUUGGAGUAGAACAGAUGAUCAAAUGGUAUAUGUGGUUUAAUACAGUUGAUGAGAUGAAGAGCUGAUUAUUAAGAAGUGUAGCAGGAGUUCCCCUUGUGGCGCAGUGGUUAACGAAUUCGACUAGGAACCAUGAGGUUGCGGGUUCGAUCCCUGGCCUUGCUCAGUGGGUUAAGGAUCUGGCGUUGCCUUGAGCUGAGGUGUGGGUCACAGACACAGCUUGGAUCCCACGUUGCUGUGGCUCUGGCAUAGGCCGGUGGGUACAGCUCUGAUUAGACCCCUAGCCUGGGAACCUCCAUAUGCCGUGGGAGUGGCUCAAGAAAAAGCAAAAAAAAAAAGACAAACCCCCACAAAAAAAAGGAAACAAAAAAAUAAAAAGUGUAGCAACAGCAAAAUAAAGUCUCAUCACGGAGAUGUGUUUUGAUAGGUAAGAUAAAGUGAUAUAAUGUUAAGUGCUUAGGAAUCCAGGCCGACAUGUAGGCAGAUAGGACCAGAGAAACCAUUCUGCUAACUGCAAAUUCAUAGCCACUAAAUUGGAAUUCAGGGAGAGACUCUAUUCAUGCAGAGAGACUGGCCACAUGAAGCUAAAGUCUCAAUUCUGGAGGAAUACAUGCCCUAUGGGUUACUAAGUCUUGAGUGUAGAAAAUAGAACUACAUACAACUGAUCAGAAUUUGGUUAUGAGCACCUCAAUUGAACUAGCUGCCAAGGACACUCACACUGAUUGUGUUUGACCCUACAUUUCGGACUAGGGAUGUUCAUAGUCUUUGUCCAUAAGGUCAGGAUCCUAAACACUGGGGCACAGUUGAGCCUUGAAGUAAUUCUGGUUGUGGGAAGAAGAAAGACUGGGGACAGGUUAGGAUCACCCAGGAAGGACUCUCUUCUCUCCUGGGAAUUCCUUUCAAAUAUAAAAUGGAAUUCAUGGUGGAGUCAGUCCUCUUAUUAUUUAAAAUACAUUUCUAUAAGGUAUUAAGACUGCAUGGAUAAAGGGAGUUCUCAUCAUGGCUCAGUGGAAAUGAAUCUGAUGAGCAUCCAAGAGGACGCAGGUUCCAUCCCUGGACUCACUCAGUGGGUUAAGGAUCUGGCAUUGCUGUGAGCUGUGGUGUAGGUCUCAGUUGCAGCUUGGAUCCCACCUCACUGUGGCCGUAGUGUAGGCUGGAAACUAUAGCUCCGAUUAGAUCCCUAGCCUGGGAACCUCCAUAUGCCAUGGGUGCCACCCUAAAAAGACCAAAAAAAAAAAGACUACAUGGAUAACUUAGGUGCCUCUUGGACAUCUUUUACAAACUCUGGUGAGUCCCAAAGUAAACAUUUAAUAAUGGAAAGAAUGCUACAUCAUUUGCACUACUGGAAUCUUCCAUCUUAAGCAAUAUUGGAAUCUUCUUUUAGAAUGUAGAUGCAUGAAAAAUUGACAUAAAAUGAAGUAGCUAGUGUU
rnacentral:lncRNA from 1 species